CAGAAUGGGUGGGUUUAUGGAAUCCCAUUUUUGUCAAACUAGUAGAUGAAAUGUCAUUAGGUGCCGCGGUGAUCACAGAGUAGCAGCAGGAGGAAACAAAGGCUUGUAUAUGUUUUGUAGUAGUUACUGUAAAGCUGAUUGUGAUAGUUUAGUUCAAGAGACACUCCUGGCACUUGUGCAAAUUCAAUGCAUAUGUUUAUAGUAACAUUCCUGCCUUUAUGUGGAUGUUUAAAGUUAGAAAGUUUUUAGAAAUGAGCACAGCAAUACUCAAGUUACUCAGUCUGUCAUUUGCAAGAGGGUGUGAACAGAGGCAGCUGAAACACAUGGCUCUCUAAAUCUAAUCUAGUAAGUGUGUGAUGUCUUACACAAGUGAAUGCACACUACUAACCCUAAAAGAAACUUAGGGAUUGGCCAGGAGAUAUCCAUUACUUCUGUAUUAUGUCAGAAAUGGAUGAAGA